CCGAGUGAUUUUGGAUGCGUGUGAAUGAAUUUUGGAGAUAAAUAAGUGUUUCGGCGCAAAUUGGGCGCGAAACAAAAAGUAAAGAAAAUUGUCAGAUUCUGAUGCUAACUUUGAUUAAGAGAAUUAAAGUGAGCAAAGUAAUAUAAAAUGGUGUGAGAUACCAUUUGAUUGGACUUAAGGGUGUAAAACAUAAGUCUGGAAUGACUCGUGUUGAAAUCGAAGCGAAAACAGAAGAUUUGAAAUUUUCUGUAAAGAAUGGGACUGAGAAAUUAGCAGAAAAUGCAUAGUGUCAGAAAAUUAUGAAAAUUGGCGGAGAUGUCAGGAAUAUGUUUAUGAGGAUAGAUUUGAAGUUUCAGAUUAUUCUGACACCCGUAGAGAGAGAAAUUGAAUCCGAGAGCUAUCAGAUAAAGAUUUCAGUUCUGUACAGUUCGAAGUGACCAAAUGGGGUCGGAACUGAAAUGUUAAAAUUUCUUUGGACUUGUUAAGUAAAACCGAACAUGCCUGUCAAGUUUGAGCUCAAUCGGACUUUUGG
rnacentral:lncRNA from 1 species